rnacentral:rRNA from 1 species
GAUGAACGCUGGCGGCGUGCCUAAUACAUGCAAGUCGAGCGAACAGAUAAGGAGCUUGCCCCUUUGACGUUAGCGGCGGACGGGUGAGUAACACGUGGGUAACCUACCUAUAAGACUGGGAUAACUUCGGGAAACCGGAGCUAAUACCGGAUAAUAUUUCGAACCGCAUGGUUCGAUAGUGAAAGAUGGUUUUGCUAUCACUUAUAGAUGGACCCGCGCCGUAUUAGCUAGUUGGUAAGGUAACGGCUUACCAAGGCGACGAUACGUAGCCGACCUGAGAGGGUGAUCGGCCACACUGGAACUGAGACACGGUCCAGACUCCUACGGGAGGCAGCAGUAGGGAAUCUUCCGCAAUGGGCGAAAGCCUGACGGAGCAACGCCGCGUGAGUGAUGAAGGUCUUCGGAUCGUAAAACUCUGUUAUUAGGGAAGAACAUACGUGUAAGUAACUGUGCACGUCUUGACGGUACCUAAUCAGAAAGCCACGGCUAACUACGUG